rnacentral:misc_RNA from 1 species
UUGCUCACCUCCCAACUCCCGUCACUGUCCCGUUUUGUGGUGGACGCACAGGCGGCAUUACUCAGUGCUGUGAUGUGGGAGUGCAUCAUCACUGCGACUAUAUGACUUUUCAAGCUCGUGUGAUCUUGCUCUCCUUUCCUCGUUGGGGGCAGCCGCUAUCGAAGACUGGCAAACGGAAAGCGCGGUGAUCUACUCCGAGUAUUGUGAUUCUUCUCUACGUAAAGGACGUUUUUUUUUUGUGGUUCGUUGCCUGUUACCCGCGGUUCAGCUACAGGUCAGCUGCGCCAGCCACAUGCGUCGCUGUGUGCCUUGGCGUCGCCUCCUGUGCGGGGGCACCAGGCUCCUGCGCAACGGCGUCGACACAGGAGGUGCGCCGUCGUCCAGCUCACCCAGCUUCAAAGAGACCGUUGAGGGGAAGCUAGAGAAGGAGGCGGAGGCGCUCCGGCGCGUCGCUUGCUAUCCUCAUCGCUCCAUGACCAGACCAGUCAUGCCCGUACCGGCGUCACAGAUUCUCUCCCCGGUUUUCAUGUCGAGUCUCAUGGAUCUCAACCAGCUGGCGACAGACCUGCACUGCCUGUCGUUCAGUGCCCCCAAAGCGCACUGGGACGCAGCGGUGAUUCUCAUCAAGAGCAACCCAGACGAGACGGAGUACGAGGUGUGGGUGAACCCGUCAGUGCCCGGCUACGACGAUCGCAACGCGGUGGCGCCCAUGUACGGCAUGUGGGAGAACUGCAUCUCGUGCGGCACGGCGACGGCGUGGGUGGUACGCCCGCAGCGCGUCACGUGCAGCGGGUACGAUGAGCACGGCAACCACAAGGUGCAGGUGCUAGACGGCAUGCGAGCACGCUGCCUCAUGCACGAGCUGGACCACUUGAUGGGCAAGACUAUCUUUCAUCAAGCGGUCGGGCCAGAGUUUGUUGUGAGCUCGGUGGCAAUGGCGCAGCGACAUCUGUGGCCGGCCAACUUCCCGUCUGCCGAGGCGUACGUCACCACUCCUGGCCAGUUUUUUGAUUACGUGCAGAACGCGACGAUGAUUCCGCCGGGCAUGGAGUGGUGGUACGCGCAGAACGUCAGGGAGGAGUUUGGUAACGAGCAAAUUGGACAGUGAGGUCGCCAUGAGGUGAUGGUGGCGAUGGCACUAUGCUGCGCAGCUGCACGCUUGCCGUUUACUCGGGUUUGCUUUUGCAGACUUGGUGGCCGCGGCGGUAAUGGCGGCGCGUGUCUUGUUCGCCGAGCGCGUUUUCAUUCUUUGAGAGGGAGGGGGGUUGUGUGGUGGCUCUUCCGCACCCGCAGGACUACACGCCGUAUGCGCUUGCAUGUGCACCGUGUGUGUGAGAGAGGGCCACGGAGCACGACGCCGCUCCGGUGCCGUCGAGUUUAUUGUUUGCCAUUUUUGUGUCUGUGUGUGUGCGCGCACGAUUUGUUGUUGGUUUGAUGUCUUCUCACAUGCUCUAUCUGAACAGCAGUGCAAAAGUCGUGACACG